UAAUGAUGGUUGCAGGGCCCCUCUUCAAUGGAGGCAUUGCCAGCCUUCUGGCCAUGAAGGAGAAAGUGAUUUCAACUAACCCAGGAAACUCUUACCUCUAAAUGGAGACACUUCCUGAUAACAGAAGAAACUGGGCAUCUAACCCAGAAAUACCAGCUGAGUAGGAGAAGAGAAAAGGCAUCAGCCAGUCAAGGUUUCAGAAGGCUGCCAACA
rnacentral:lncRNA from 1 species